GAUGAACGCUAGCUACAGGCUUAACACAUGCAAGUCGAGGGGUAACAAGAGGAAAGCUUGCUUUCCUUGUUGACGACCGGCGCACGGGUGAGUAACGCGUAUCCAACCUGCCUAUAACUAGGGAAUAACCUUGCGAAAGUAAGACUAAUGCCCUAUGACUUCCUUUGGCGGCAUCAAAAAAGGAAUAAAGAUUUAUCGGUUAUAGAUGGGGAUGCGUCUGAUUAGCUUGUUGGCGGGGUAACGGCCCACCAAGGCAACGAUCAGUAGGGGUUCUGAGAGGAAGGUGCCCCACAUUGGAACUGAGACACGGUCCAAAGUCCUACGGGAGGCAGCAGUGAGGAAUAUUGGUCAAUGGGCGGGAGCCUGAACCAGCCAAGUAGCGUGCAGGAUGACGGCCCUAUGGGUUGUAAACUGCUUUUAUACAGGAAUAAAGUUAGCCACGUGUGGUUAUUUGUAGGUACUGUAUGAAUAAGGACCGGCUAAUUCCGUGCCAGCCGCCGCAGUAA
rnacentral:rRNA from 1 species